UACGAAGGGUGCAAGCGUUCAUCGGAAUUACUGGGCGUAAAGCGCGCGUAGGUGGUUCGUUAAGUUGGAUGUGAAAGCCCCGGGCUCAACCUGGGAACUGCAUCCAAAACUGGCGAGCUAGAGUAUGGCAGAGGGUGGUGGAAUUUCCUGUGUAGCGGUGAAAGGCGGAGAUAUAGGAAGGAACACCAGUGGCGAAGGCGACCACCUGGGCUAAUACUUACACGGAGUUGCUAACGCUUUGUGCGCCAACAGUAUUCGAUCCCAGGGGAGUCC
rnacentral:rRNA from 1 species